rnacentral:rRNA from 1 species
CUGGUUGAUUCUGCCAGUAGCAUAUGCUUUCCUCCUGGAGAUUAAGCCAUGCAAGUCUAAGUAUAAGUUAUAUACGGCGAAACUGCGAACGGCUCAUUAAAACAGUUAUAAUUUAUUUGAUGAUGUUUUUAUAUGGAUAACCAUUUUGGGAAACUAUGGCUAAUACAUGCUUACAGACCUUCGGGUUGUAUUUAUUAGUUUUUUCCGAUCUCUGAUCGUGAUGAGUCAUAAUAACUGAUCGAAGCGCACUUGUGUGUGCUAAAUCUUUCAAGUUUCUGCCCUAUCAGAUUGUUGGUAGUGUAUUGGACUACCAAGUCGAUCACGGGUAACGGAGAAUUAGGGUUCGAUUCCGGAGAGGGAGCCUGAGAAACGGCUACCACAGCUACGGUAGGCAGCAGGUGCGUAAAUUACCCAAUCCAAACUCUGGAAGGUAGUUACAGGAAAUUUGUUGCAUAGGCUUCUAGCCUAGACACAAACGAACACAUGUAAGUAUUGUGUGUUUAAUUGGAGGGCAAGUUUUGGUGCCAGCAGCCGCGGUAAU